GUUUGAUCCUCGGUCAGGAAACUAAGCUCCCACAUGUCCUGGAGCAACCAAGCCACAACUGCUGAGCCUGCGUCACAGCUGGAGAGUUCGCUUGCUGCAACAGAGGUCCCCCAUGCUGCAACUAAGACCCCAGAGUAUGAACGCCUCUGGUUCUAUUCAGCUGCCUCCUCUUUCGCAUCUGGGACAGGCAGCCCUCAGUAUUGCUCAGGAGGGGAAGAGGAAAGAGAGAUGAACAAGGCACAUCAGCUCUGAAAUGCCUCAGCCUGGAAGUGACACAAGUUACGUUCUCCCAGAGGUGAUUGACCAGAGCUAGUCACAUGACCUCCACCUAAAUGCAAAAGAAGCUGAGAGAUGUUGGGAGCACAUGGGUAAUUAGCAAACCCUGACCAUCUCUGCUAAAGCACGCAACUAACUUUAAUGUCCCGUAUCCUGUGAUUAGGCAGGUCUGGAAGUGGAAAGACUCCCACAGGCCUUCAGAACCAUAUUAAACCUCUGCUUAGAAUCAUUUAAAAAUUAUUAUCAGGACUUUAAGAUACUUGUUCUCAUCUAUGGGUAAUUUCUGGUUUUAUUCCUAAUUUUCUGUGUGGAAAUAAACAGGAAGCCUAACGACAUCCCUAUCUUAAAAGAAAAAUCUGUUGUAACAACUCCAGUAUUACCAGUAACUUGGUAAGCCUUUGUUCUAGGCCAUUUUAGUUGUUCUGUUAAAGCGUAGUGAAUGCUAUCUCUUUUUCUUCACUGAUUUCCCCAAGCACAUGAUUCUUGAGGUAAUUAUCAGGUGAUUGCUUUAUGCUGCUGAAGCCUGGACAGCUUGUGCUGAUUGGCAACAGGGCAUUAGCAGGACUUUAAAACCAUCUUGUGGGCAUUUUUGAAAACAAAGAAAUGGAAUCUAUUUUUGUCCUAUCUAUACAAAUCCCACUGUUAGCCAAGUAUAAGAUAAUUCAGUACAGAGUGUUGUCAGUGAGAAACAAAACACAGAUUGGGUUUAGUUUCUUCAUCAGCUUCCCUUUUUCUGCCGUUGCCUACCUUUUCUUUUUUUUUUACAG
ensembl:lncRNA